AAAAACUGUUUAGUACAGCUGAGUAUUAAAGAAUACGCAGGUCAUUUCGGGUGCCUUAGGAAUCAAAUAUGUUCAUAUUGUCCCAUUACCUCCUCGAUGACAUGAAGAUAAGAGAAUCAACUGACAAAUCUCAGGUUCUAUCCUUUGAGACCUACUCUUACUUCAGGAUCAUGAAUUUGCUUUCUGCCAAACACAUGGAAGUGUUAAGAGCUAAUACCGAAAGUUGAACUGUUUAUUAAAACUGACAUUAUAUCCUUACCUAAAUCCAAGACGAGGAAAAGGACGCCAACAAAGACAGAGGCUAAAAAAUACUUCCGGACAUCACCUUACCUCUCAGAGUCAAGUUUCCUUGCUUAACAAGAGAAAAAGGACCCGGUUCCCUACUUACAGUAAUGUUGCAAAGUUCCUGCUAUUUUAAAACCUCUAAUUUGUAUCUCAGAGACAGAGCCUGAGACUGCUAAAGCAGUAUCUCCACUGACUAGCACGAAUCAAUAAAUAGUUGCACA